rnacentral:lncRNA from 1 species
GGGCUUCUUCUCCCUUGAAGAACAAUGAAUUAGGGUUGAGAGGCUCCCUCCUCCAGGGGCCAGGGGGUCUGGUUUUAUAGUCCCUUCAAGUGAAUAUGGGCCGUUGGAUCAAACCGACAUAGAUUGUAUGGUUUAGAUUCAUCCUUUAGGUCGGUGGAAAUCUCCCGCAAAGCAGAGUCCUGAUUGGACUCAGAGGCAGGGCGGGCGCCCAGGGUCUGGCCCCGUUUCGCCUCCGCUUCGGUCUCGUGGCUUCUGGAGUCUUCUAGAUGUAAGAUAAUUGCGCGUCACGUUAAUAUCUUUACGUAAUCCCGACGUGUGGGUCUUUCUUCCGUAUUUCCUGAUAACUCCCUGCAGAAAUAGACAAACACCAAAACUCGUGGAAUUCUGUCAGAUAAAACCCUAAGUCUAGAUGUUGAUUUCAUUUGGAUCCUUUUCUUUGUUUAUUUGAUAAUUAAAUUUGAUACUUAAGGACCGUCAACAAACUCCCCCAAGCUUACCUCUUGCUCGUCCCUGAGCAAGGAUAGACUCAGCUAUGGAUCAUAAGUUGUUGCAAUAUAUUUAAAAAUUGACGGUACACAUGCUUUUUAAAUAAGAUCUCAUCUCUAAGUUAGAGUAAACUGUCAAGACUUAAAACUUACUUACUUUACCUUCACCAUGGGACUUGUAACUGUCACUUCUAUCUUGAGUAGUUAAACGAUAGAACAGUCUAGUCAAGUGCCAUGUCUCUUAUUCUUGAUCAGCUAUAGCUCUGGGGUUUUUGCAGAUUUUCAAAUAAAACUCAGAGAUUCCUUGUAUGACUCUCUCAGAUCUCUCUUUUGUGGUAUUUCUGGAUCCUUACCAAGGCAGUAAUGGUAUAUGCCUUCUCACAAUAUAUGUGGUAUUUGUGGUAUAAAGCAUAGUGACAUUGCCUUCUCUCUCACCCUACUCUAAUAAGGCUUUAAUAUCUGGAGCUCAUAGGUGGGAGAUAAAGUAUACAUACUUACAAGACAUGUAUUGUAUAGUCAAACCAUGGAUCCAAAGAAACAAAUCAAUAAGCCAAAUCAAGAUGUGCAUGUGUGGCGAAUGAAUGAUGUAUGGUGGUGAUGGUGAUAACAAUGGUGAAAACAAUGGUGGUGGAAGUCUAAUUCUACUUUGCUCUUUGAGGGGAUACAUACCUUCCUUGCUUUUUUUUUGAAUUUAUGAGGAGAAUGAGAUGCUCUUCUUUUUUUCUUUUCUCUCAGGUGGGUAUCUUGUACCCCUAAUUCUACUGUCGGACACUUGUCCAUUUUUACCUCUCGUCUCACUCUCUCUUUUCUUUCGAGGUUCCGAGCACUUGCACCUUUUUAUUUCCUCAUAUUUCUCUUUUUUUUUCUUUUUCUUUUUUUUAGAGCAUUCAUCUCUUGAGAUAAUAUAGCAAGUGGUAGUAACAAGAUAACUUGAGCAUUUAUUUCACAAGGGAAACAUAAAUAUUUUUGGCUAUUCUCUCCCGGAUUAGGAGUAGAAUAUUUUUGGGUGAUUCUGGAGAUGGAAUGGGUGGAUAUAUGUGGAUGGUACUUCCGGAGUAGAAGUAGCAUAUAUGAGUGAACGUACAAGUGAAUCUUGAUUUAACCACAUGACAAGUUCCUAAGGGUCUACACAGCUUGACCACACUCAAUGCUCAUAAGCAGUAAAUAGUAAAUGUGUGGCUCAAAGUCUAGCAAGCAUGUAUAUAUGGCUGUGGUAGGAAUUUAAACUCUCAUCAUACAUGAACUCAUCAUGCAACAUUUUAAAGAUUUUCAAAGAUAAAAUUCUCUAGAAAUCUAGCAUCUCUAGGAACAGAUAAACAGCAGCUCAACCUUCCCAUAUCGUAUCCGUUAACAACUUAGACUUCAGAUCAAAUUUUCAUCCCACAAGUUUAGGUCUAGAGCAAGCUUUAAAUUAUAACAGUUAUAUAUAUCCUUGAGAGUGAACUUAAAAUGUGCAAAUUAGGCAGAGCAACUAUUCAUCAUUUCCAUACUUAAGUUUUAUUUAGAUACAGAUUAGCAUCGCCACUUUAUUUAUUUAUUAAACACACUAAGCAAAAGAUAUAUAUAUAAGCUUAAAAUCUUUAUUUGGUUUUUUAUAGUUUAUGUAUAUUUAAUAUUCUAAUAUAAUAUAAGUAUAAAGAUAGAUAGAAAUACUUAUCGAGAUAAAUGGGGGUGCUCUCUCCCAAGCUGAAUUUUGACGUAAUUUCUCUUGAUGUAGCUAGCAGGUGGCAGAGGUGUAUUUGAAAGUCAGCAGCAUUCUGACAGCGAUUAGAAUGUCCUCCGUCUGCUAGUCUUCUUGAUUCUUAAAUUCUGCGGAGCUCAAAUAGACAACAAAGCUUGUGGAACUGAUUAAGUGUUAGCAUAAAUAUCUAGCCUUUAUCAUCUUGAGACUCCUUAAUAAUUAUUACUCCCUGUUUUUAUAUUUUUAUUUUAUAAAGCAGAAAAGAAAUUUUUAUUUUAUUUUUAUGCCACCACAGUGAAUGUACUUAUGGGUUUUAUGCCACUCGCAUACUCACAUGGGGCUUACUGUUUUUCGCAUUUUUAUUUUCUUUUAUUUUUAAGAUAGUACGAACAUGAUUAACUAAGUAAACUAGUUGAAAUAAUUGAAAAGGAAAGGAUAACUACCAAGUUUACCUCUCGGCAAGGCGUUCGGUGUUUUUUAAGUCCUCCGAACGGGACUCUCCAUUUUUUCAGUAGUCCUGAGGUUCGUUGGUGGUGUAGUCGGUACUUCCAGCGGCGCCUCCUCUUCAUGUAUAGUUAUCUUCAUUUUCCACACCUGACUUGGUGCUUCGGUCUACUCUGGAUAAUUCUGUUUAAACUCUACGUUUUCUGACCUUACAACUUUUCCUUCAUAGUCUGCCCAUCCGUCCUUGAUGAUCUGCCUCCUCUGGUUGCGGUUACGUCUUUUCCUUACCUGCUUAGAUUCUUCAACGAUAUAGUUAGGGUCAGUAAAAUAACGGCGUACCUUCUCUAAGGGGAAGUGCAUAUGGACUUCUCCGGUUCCAAUGUAGAUAAUUGCUUUAACGGUGCUGAGGAACGGUCUUCCAAGGAUGAUGGGUGGAUCGUACUUGUCUUCUCCCAUGUCAAUAACUUGAAAGUCUGUGUAGACAAAGUGAUCGUCUAUUUUGACUGGGACAUCAGUUACUAUUCCUUUAACUUCUCAAAAUGUCUGAUCUGCCAUCUGGAGUUGAAUGUAUGUUGGUCUUAGUGGCAUGGUUCCAAACAAGAGCCGAUAGGUGACUGCGGCCAUUAUGUUGACGCCCGAUCCAGUGUCGCAAAUCAUCUUGAAGAAACUAUAUCCAUUUAUGGAGCAGUAGAUGCUUGGCAUUCCUAGGUCGUCCUUCUUGGUCAAAAGCGGUGACUUAAGUUGGUGAUCUUGGCCUCCAUGAACUACAGUGACCAUCUUAGCUGACUCGGUCCACACUUGCUUGUUCCUGUUCCUCCUGUUGGUCCUCUUCCUUGACUCACGUCUGGAUUGAUCUGGAAUUUUUGUAAUCUUUUUCUUGAAGAAAAAUGUCUCCUUCUUCCCUUUGACGUAGAAACUGAUCUUGGCAGCACUAGCGUAGAUGAUAGCUCCCGUGGUGUUCAAGAAUGGCCUCCCUAAGAUGAUGGGUGCUCUCUCAUCAUUUCCGGUCUUUACCACUACGAAGUCUGCUAGGGCAUACAAGGUACCAACUCGGACGCAAAGGUUCUUCAAUAUUCCCUUUGGAAAAGUUAUCGUCUGAUCUGCAAAUUGCAAACACAUGGUUGUUUCUAAUAAAAGAUAUGUAAAGAAUUUUUCAUAGAGUACCCUGGUUAUAAUGUUGACACUGGAGCCAAAGUCGCAGAGUGCUUCUGGAACGUCCACCAUGCCGAUAGAGAUCGGGAUGACGGGGCGUCCUGGAUCGCCUCUCUUGACCGGCAGAAGGUCAGUAGAGAAUUUAGUGACGGGGUUACUUCCAAUUACCUGCAUCAAACGUGUCUACAAGAUUUGCAGAUUCUAAUCCUUCCGGUUGUGAUUGUAUACCGGGGUUAGUAGUAGGAACAGCAACAGCUAUUUGAUUUAACUGAGAUUCAAUCAUUUUAUUAAAGCUAAUUUGAUUCUUGAUGGCAGUAGAGAAAUUAUCCAUUCUAUUAUUUAUAUUUUCUAGCAUUUUAUCAUUAGAUGCCAAUUUCUUAGAUAGAUUAUCCAUUAGCUUUCCUUGAUUAGACACUAACUCUCUCAAAGGUGGAAAAUUAUUAGCAUUAUUGUUGUAAGAAUUGUUACCUUGAUAAUUACCUGAGUAGUUAGGCCUCUGUUGAUUCCAACCUUGAUUUUGUUGAGGACGGUUGUAGUAGUUGUUGUUGUUGAUGAUGUAGUUCACAUCCUCAAGCAUCUCAGGGCAGUGGUUGCCUGAGUGUCCAGUGUCUCCACACUCCUCACAAGUCAUGUGAGAGUCGUAGAUGUGCAUAACUUCUUUCUUGUCUCCAACUCUAUCAUCGAGCUUCUUCAUGAGCAGGUCUAGCUUUUGCAGACAGCAUGUCUACAUCUUUCAGCUGAUGCAUACCUCCACCUCUCUUGCGUGUCUGGGUCCUCUCUUCAUUCCAGCUUUGGUUGGACGCCAUCUUCUCCACAAGAGCUGUGGCUUGUGGUAUUGUAAGUGAUAAGAAUGCUCCUCCAGCUGCAGCAUCCAUGGUCUCUCGGGCACUGUUGCCGAGCCCAUGAUAAAACGUCUGCAUUAAUAGCCAACUCUCCAUUCCAUGAUGGGGACAUUCUAGGAUGUAGUCUUGAAAGCGCUCCCAUGCUUCUGGAACAAAUUCAUCAUUUUGUUGCUGAAAACUUGUAAUCUUCCCACGGAGAGCAUUGGUCUUGCCCAUGGGAAAGAACUUAGCCAAAAAGUUUGUUGAGCAGAGUGCCCACGUAGUAUUCUUCUCCUUUGUAGCGUAGAACCACUGCUUCGCUCUUCCUCACAGUGAGAAUGGGAAGAGGCGAAGUAGUAUAGCAUCUUUGGGAACUCCUGAUAUGGUGAAUGUGUUGCAAAUCUCCAAGAAGUGUUGUAAAUGAGCACUAGCAUCUUCGUGUGCCUUCCCACAGAACUGGUUGGAUUGCACCAUGUUGAUAAGUCCAGGCUUGAGCUCAAAGUUGCCAUCGAUCUCUGCAGCAGGUCCAGUGCGGAUGUUGUCCGUAGUGGGAGCUGAGAACUCGCGGAUUGAUUUGUUCGCCAUGGCUUCAAACUCUGAAGACAAGUUCCGGUGAUCUUCUUGAUUUGGAUGAAGCUUCUUGCUGAAGUGUUGAUGAUUUCUUUAGCUUGGCUCUCGUCUUCUUGAAUAAUGCUUCGGGAUUAUUAACAAAAUUUCCUGGAAGAUGUCUUCUAUUCAUACAUUCCCCUGCAUAAGAUGAAAUAGGAAAAUAUCGGGGUAAAACUGUAUGAGAGAAUAGAUAAGCUCAAUCAUAUUAGUGAUGCAAAUGAUAACUCAAAAUCUUUUAUUCCAUUCCUGAUUAGUAAUCAACCUUCCCCGGCAACGGCGCCAAAAAUGCUUGUUGGGUAUUCUUAACAUCAUUACCAAAAGUAGCUAAGUUCUCUAAAUCUAGUAACGGUGCCAAAAAUGCCAAACCUAUCCCUCACACCACUUAAGCCAAGUUGUCAUCCCCAACAUGAUAUAAGAGACGCGGUAUUGAAAUAUGCAAUUGCUCUUCUAAAUAAAUAAUGAAUGGGAUCUGCAAGCGCACAGAUUAAUACCGAUGCAGCAUUUUAACCGGGAAGUAUUCCAGGUAUCGUUAUUUAUAUUUUUACCACUGGGAAGGGAUUAGCAAUCAUCAAUAUUGAUUACAGAAUAGAAUAUGAGAUUGAGCAUCUAUCAUUGCAUGUAUAAUUGAGAACAUUAUAUCUAACUCAUCAUACAGGGAUAAGUGUCACAUAAAAGAUAUAUGAAAUAGUGAAUAGUGACAAGGAUAAUUAAUCUGAUCUAGCCACAUAAUAAAUAUGAUAAGCACCUCAAUUAGAUACUCUAGAAAGUCAUUAGCAUGGUAUUAGAACGAACUACAUGAAUAUUCCCUAAGUUAUUCUCAACUAUAUAGUCUAGCAUUAUCAUAAUUAGUGCAAGCAUACUUAGCAAUCAUCGCGAGACAAGACUACGCCCAUGCAUAGUGAUAUUAGCAAGGAAUAUGAGAAACAUAGCAAUCACUCCCCUUUAAUAAUGUUGCUCUGCCAACCCAAUACACGAGAGGGGGACUAUAUAAGAAUCAAUGAAGCUGUCACUAUCACGAACUACCCCACGAUCUGGCAUAUUGGGUACAAUCACAGAUAAAUACGGUAUAAGCACCACGCCUACACAAUAUCUAUCAUUUACCCAUGGAUCCGAUGGAUAAACGCUAUACGAUCCUAAGCAUGUAUAUAGAUCGAAUCUAACUAAGCCAAGUACAUAACUAUGAUAAACUAAGAACAAUAUAAUCUUGAAUAUAAGCAAGUAGAGCAAAGUCAUAAGCAAUAUAUUGAAGUAGAACAAAGUCAUAUUCAUAAUAUUGAAGAACAAAGAUAAUUAGAAGGCAAUUAGAAGCACAAUUAGAGAAUUACCAAGAAUCCUCUUGACAGAUCCGGAAACCAAUCGAAGAUUGACUCCUUCUAGUUCUAAUCCUAUGUAGCUAUGCUAAUCUAGAUGUCUAAUUGAUGUGGUGGCUCUAAUCUUGAUCAGGGGCUUCUUCUCCCUUGAAGAACAAUGAAUUAGGGUUGAGAGGCUCCCUCCUCCAGGGGCCAGGGGGUCUGGUUUUAUAGUCCCUUCAAGUGAAUAUGGGCCGUUGGAUCAAACCGACAUAGAUUGUAUGGUUUAGAUUCAUCCUUUAGGUCGGUGGAAAUCUCCCGCAAAGCAGAGUCCUGAUUGGACUCAGAGGCAGGGCGGGCGCCCUGACCAACUGGGCGGGCGCCCAGGGUCUGGCCCCGUUUCGCCUCCGCUUCGGUCUCGUGGCUUCUGCAGUCUUCUAGAUGUAAGAUAAUUGCGCGUCACGUUAAUAUCUUUACGUAAUCCCGACGUGUGGGUCUUUCUUCCGUAUUUCCUGAUAACUCCCUGCAGAAAUAGACAAACACAAAAACUCGUGGAAUUCUGUCAGAUAAAACCCUAAGUCUAGAUGUUGAUUUCAUUUGGAUCCUUUUCUUUGUUUAUUUGAUAAUUAAAUUUGAUACUUAAGGACCGUCAACAAACUCCCCCAAGCUUACCUCUUGCUCGUCCCUGAGCAAGGAUAGACUCAGCUAUGGAUCAUAAGUUGUUGCAAUAUAUUUAAAAAUUGACGGUACACAUGCUUUUUAAAUAAGAUCUCAUCUCUAAGUUAGAGUAAACUGUCAAGACUUAAAACUUACUUACUUUACCUUCACCAUGGGACUUGUAACUGUCACUUCUAUCUUGAGUAGUUAAAAGAUAGAACAGUCUAGUCAAGUGCCAUGUCUCUUAUUCUUGAUCAGCUAUAGCUCUGGGGUUUUUGCAGAUUUUCAAAUAAAACUCAGAGAUUCCUUGUAUGAUUCUCUCAGAUCUCUCUUUUGUGGUAUUUCUGGAUCCUUACCAAGGCAGUAAUGGUAUAUGCCUUCUCUCAAUAUAUGUGGUAUUUGUGGUAUAAAGCAUAGUGACAUUGCCUUCUCUCUCACCCUACUCUAAUAAGGCUUUAAUAUCUGGAGCUCAUAGGUGGGAGAUAAAGUAUACAUACUUACAAGACAAGUAUUGUAUAGUCAAACCAUGGAUCCAAAGAAACAAAUCAAUAAGCCAAAUCAAGAUGUGCAUGUGUGGCGAAUGAAUGAUGUAUGGUGGUGAUGGUGAUAACAAUGGUGAAAACAAUGGUGGUGGAAGUCUAAUUCUACUUUGCUCUUUGAGGGGAUACAUACCUUCCUUGCUUUUUUUUUGAAUUUAUGAGGAGAAUGAGAUGCUCUUCUUUUUUUCUUUUCUCUCAGGUGGGUAUCUUGUACCCCUAAUUCUACUGUCGGACACUUGUCCAUUUUUACGUCUCGUCUCACUCUCUCUUUUCUUUCGAGGUUCCGAGCACUUGCUCCUUUUUAUUUCCUCGUAUUUCUCUUUUUUUUUCUUUUUCUUUUUUUUAGAGCAUUCAUCUCUUGAGAUAAUAUAGCAAGUGGUAGUAACAAGAUAACUUGAGCAUUUAUUUCACAAGGGAAAACAGAAAUAUUUUUGGCUAUUCUCUCCCGGAUUAGGAGUAGAAUAUUUUUGGGUGAUUCCGGAGUAGAAGUAGCAUAUAUGAGUGAACGUGCAAGUGAAUCUUGAUUUAACCACAUGACAAGUUCGUAAGGGUCUACACAGCUUGACCACACUCAAUGCUCAUAAGCAGUAAAUAGUAAAUGUGUGGCUCAAAGUCUAGCAAGCAUGUAUAUAUGGCUGUGGUAGGAAUUUAAACUCUCAUCAUACAGGAACUCAUCAUGCAACAUUUUAAAGAUUUUCAAAGAUAAAAUUCUCUAGAAAUCUAGCAUCUCUAGGAACAGAUAAACAGCAGCUCAACCUUCCCAUAUCGUAUCCGUUAACAACUUAGACUUCAGAUCAAAUUUUCAUCCCACAAGUUUAGGUCUAGAGCAAGCUUUAAAUUAUAACAGUUAUAUCUAACCUUGAGAGUGAACUUAAAAUGUGCAAAUUAGGCAGAGCAACUAUUCAUCAUUUCCAUGCUUAAGUUUUAUUUAGAUACAGAUUAGCAUCGCCACUUUAUUUAUUUAUUAAACACACUAAGCAAAAGAUAUAUAUAUAAGCUUAAAAUCUUUAUUUGGUUUUUUAUAGUUUAUGUAUAUUUAAUAUUCUAAUAUAAUAUAAGUAUAAAGAUAGAUAGAAAUACUUAUCGAGAUAAAUGGGGGUGCUCUCUCCCAAGCUGAAUUUUGACGAAGUCAGCAGCAUUCUGACAGCGAUUAGAAUGUCCUCCGUCUGCUAGUCUUCUUGAUUCUUAAAUUCUGCGGAGCUCAAAUAGACAACAAAGCUUGUGGAACUGAUUAAGUGUUAGCAUAAAUAUCUAGCCUUUAUCAUCUUGAGACUCCUUAAUAAUUAUUACUCCCUGUUUUUAUAUUUUUAUUUUAUAAAGCAGAAAAGAAAUUUUUAUUUUAUUUUUAUGCCACCACAGUGAAUGUACUUAUGGGUUUUAUGCCACUCGCAUACUCACAUGUACUUAUGGGUUUUAUGACUUUCCUUACCGUUCCUAUGUGUUUCCCUCUUGAUUCCCUUUUUUGACUCCCUGGCAACGGCGCCAGAAAUGCUUGUUGACACUAGCUAACACCACUUAGAUACUAUGUUGUCAUCCCCAGCAUGGUGCCAGAGUGUACAAAGGUAUUUAUGAAUAUGGAGGCUCUCUAGAAAAUAAUCUAUUCUAUCCACAUGCGCACAGAUAAAAUACCUCAUUGUAGCAUUUCACCAGGAAAGUAUUCUAGGUAUCGUUAUUUAUAAUUUUGCUUAAGACAACAAGGGUGAAAUUAAGAUAAGGAUAAAAUCUAUCAAGGCAUAGACUAGAGAUAAACUUGCAACAACAUGAUUACUAAUGAGGAACUCGUCACACAGUCACUUAUUUUGGCAGGGGGUAAGCCAUAAUAAUAAUGAUAAUGAAAUAUAAGCCCAUGGGUAAUUAACACAGCGAUUAGAAAAUAGACUACUCCUGGUGACGUCGGAUUAGCUAGAGAAUGGAUUCUAAGUUAUCUACUAUCUACUAAGUCACAAUCUACUCUAGUUAUCUACAAGAUCAUAUAUAGCAUAAAACACUCUUCAUUUAUGUAUAAGGAACAUUGCUAAAGUAAAUCAGAGCAUUGCAAGACUUACUCCGCAAUACAAAUUCUGCCAGUCCUAUCAACGGAGGGUGGACUAUAUAAGAAUCAACGAAGCUGUCACUAUCACAAACUACCACACAACCCGACUAAUAGGAUACAUUUGCAGGUAAAUAACAUCUAAGCACCACGCCCACAUGUGAUCUACCACUUAACUCCCACGUGUCA